rnacentral:tRNA from 1 species
UGGGGUGUAGCCAAGUGGUAAGGCAACGGACUUUGACUCCGCUAUUCAUAGGUUCGAUCCCUAUCACCCCAG